UUCGGAUAACCGUAGUAACACUAGAGCUAAUACGUGCGUAAAUCCCGACUUUUGGAAGGGACGUAUUUAUUAGAUUUAUGGCCAGCCGGGCUUGCCCGACCAGCGGUGAAUCAUGGUAACUUGACGGAUUGCAUGGCCUUCGUGCCGGCGACGUGUCAUUCAAGUUUCUGCCCCAUCAGGUUUCGACUGUAGUGUAUUGGACUACAGUGCCUAUAACGGGUAGCGGAGGAUUAGGGUUCGAUUCCGGAGAGGGAGCCUGAGAAACGGCUACCACAUCCAAGGAAGGCAGCAGGCGCGCAAAUUACCCAAUCCCAACUCAGGGAGGUAGUGACAAGAAAUAGCAAUGCGGGGCUUCUUGCUCUGCAAUUGGAAUGAGAACAAUUUAAAUCACUUAACGAGUAUCAAUUGGAGGGCAAGUCUGGUGCCAGCAGCCGCGGUAAUUCCAGCUCCAAUAGCGUAUAUGUAAGUUGUUGCGAUUAAAAAGCCCGUAGCUGAACCUCGGGCAACCCUGACGGUCCGCGUUUCGUGAGUACUGUCGUGGGUUGUCUUUCUGGCAAGACCGUAUCUCGGUGUUAACUCGCCGGGAACGGCGCUUGCCAAGGUUACUUUGAGUAAAAUAGAGUGUUCAAAGCAAGCUCGCGCUCUGAAUACACUAGCAUGGGAUAACACGACAUGACCGAUGGUCUAUCUUGUUGGCCUGUAGACCUGUUGGUAAUGGCUAAUAGGGACGGUCGGGGGCAUUCGUAUUUCGCUGUCAGAGGUGAAAUUCUUGGAUUUGCGAAAGACGAACUACUGCGAAAGCAUUUGCCAAGGACGCUUUCAUUAGUCAAGGACGAAA
rnacentral:rRNA from 1 species